ACGGGUGAGUAACACGUGAGUAACCUGCCUCUGACUCUGGGAUAAGCCUUGGAAACGGGGUCUAAUACUGGAUACGAGACGCUCGGGCAUCCGAGGUGUCUGGAAAGAUUUAUCGGUCAGAGAUGGACUCGCGGCCUAUCAGCUUGUUGGUGGGGUAAUGGCCUACCAAGGCGACGACGGGUAGCCGGCCUGAGAGGGCGACCGGCCACACUGGGACUGAGACACGGCCCAGACUCCUACGGGAGGCAGCAGUGGGGAAUAUUGCACAAUGGGCGCAAGCCUGAUGCAGCGACGCCGCGUGAGGGAUGACGGCCUUCGGGUUGUAAACCUCUUUCAGCAGGGAAGAAGCGAAAGUGACGGUACCUGCAGAAGAAGCGCCGGCUAACUACGUGCCAGCAGCCGCGGCAAUACGUAGGGCGCAAGCGUUGUCCGGAAUUAUUGGGCGUAAAGAGCUCGUAGGCGGUUUGUCGCGUCUGGUGUGAAAACUCAAGGCUCAACCUUGAGCUUGCAUCGGGUACGGGCAGACUAGAGUGCGGUAGGGGAGACUGGAAUUCCUGGUGUAGCGGUGGAAUGCGCAGA
rnacentral:rRNA from 1 species